AAACGCUGGCGGCGUGCCUAACACAUGCAAGUCGAACGAGAAAGCUCCUUCGGGAGCGAGUAAAGUGGCGAACGGGUGAGUAAUGCAUGAGUAAUCUGCCCUCAUAUUCGGAAUAACACUUUGAAAAGAGUGCUAAUACCGGAUAUUGCCAUUAUUGCCUUGGCGAUAGUGAUAAAAGAUGGCCUCUCCAUGGAAGCUAUCGUAUGAGGAGGAGCUCAUGUCCCAUUAGCUUGUUGGUGGGGUAAUGGCCUACCAAGGCUACAAUGGGUAGCCAGCCUGAAAGGGUGUACGGCCACACUGGGAUUGAGAUACGGCCCACACUCCUACGGGAGGCAGCAGUGAGGAAUUUUGCGCAAUGGGAGAAAUCCUGACGCAGCAACGCCGCGUGAGCGAUGAAGCCUUUUGGGGUGUAAAGCUCUGUCGAAUGGGAAGAAAUGAAACAAGGCCAAUACCUUUGUUUCUUGACGGUACCAUUAAAGGAAACCCCGGUUAACUCCGUGCCAGCAGCCGCGGUAAUACGGAGGGGGCAAGCGUUAUUCGGAAUUACUGGGCGUAAAGAGCGUGUAGGUGGUUAUAUUAGUUAGGCGUGAAAUUCUAUGGCUUAACUGUAGACUUGCGUUUAAUACUGGAUGACUAGAGUACUGGAGAGGGAAAUGGAAUUCCUAGUGUAACGGUGAAAUGCGUAGAUAUUAGGAGGAACACCGGUGGCGAAGGCGGCUUCCUGGACACAUACUGACACUGAGAUGCCAAAGCCAGGGUAGCAAACGGGAUUAGAUACCCCGGUAGUCUUGGCUGUAAACGAUGGGCACUAAGUGUAGGAGGUAUCGACCCCUUCUGUGCCGGAGCUAACGCAGUAAGUGCCCCCCCUGGGGAGUACCGGCGCAAGGGUGAAACUCAAAGGAAUUGACGGGGGCCCGCACAAGCGGUGGAACAUGUGGUUUAAUUCCACGCAACGCGAAGAACCUUACCGGGGUUUGACAUGUACAGGCUAACUCUGGAAACAGAGUGUUCCUUCCGGACUUGUACACAGGUGCUGCAUGGCUGUCCUCAGCUCGUGUCGUGAGAUGUUGGGUCAAGUCCCGCAACGAGCGCGACCCUUGUCCUUAGUUGCCAUCACUUCGGCUGGGCACUCUAACGAGACUGCUGUCUAAAAGCGGAGGAAGGAGGGGACGACGUCAACUCCUCAUGGCCCUUAUGUCCCGGGGCGACA
rnacentral:rRNA from 1 species